UGCCAGCAGCCGCGGUAAUACGGAGGGUGCAAGCGUUGUUCGGAAUCAUUGGGCGUAAAGCGGGUGUAGGCGGCUUGGCAAGUCGGGUGUGAAAUCCCAGGGCCCAACCCUGGAACUGCAUUCGAAACUGCCUCGCUCGAGCCCCGGAGAGGAUGGCGGAAUUCCCGGUGUAGAGGUGAAAUUCGUAGAUAUCGGGAGGAACACCAGCGGCGAAGGCGGCCAUCUGGACGGUGACUGACGCUCAGACCCGAAAGUGUGGGUAGCGAACAGGAUUAGAUA
rnacentral:rRNA from 1 species